rnacentral:precursor_RNA from 15 species
CAAGAUAACCACAACCUGAACAUAGGCGUGCAUAGAGCGUGGACUGGGUGUGCUGGCACACCCAGGCACAACCGGACCACACUCUGCAUGCCUGUGCUCCUAAGCUUGACCAGCGCAG